CCUACGGGAGGCAGCAGUGGGGAAUAUUGCACAAUGGGGGAAACCCUGAUGCAGCGACGCCGCGUGAGUGAAGAAGUAAUUCGUUAUGUAAAGCUCUAUCAGCAGGGAAGAAAAUGACGGUACCUGAGUAAGAAGCCCCGGAUAACUACGUGCCAGCAGCCGCGGUAAUACGUAGGGGGCAAGCGUGAUCCGGAUUUACUGGGUGUAAAGGGAGCGUAGACGGCAGUGCAAGUCUGGAGUGAAAGGCGAGGGCUCAACCCCCGGACUGCUCUGGAAACUGUACGGCUGGAGUGCAGGAGAGGUAAGUGGAAUUCCUAGUGUAGCGGUGAAAUGCGUAGAUAUUAGGAGGAACACCAGUGGCGAAGGCGGUUUACUGGACUGUAACUGACGUUGAGGCUCGAAAGCGUGGGGAGCAAACAGGAUUAGAUACCCUUGUAGUC
rnacentral:rRNA from 1 species